GACGAACGCUGGCGGCGUGCUUAACACAUGCAAGUCGUACGGUAAGGCCCUUUCUUGGGUACACGAGUGGCGAACGGGUGAGUAACACUUGAGUAACCUGCCCACAACUUUUUUAUAACUCUAGUAAACUGGUUCUAAUACUUGAUAUGUGCUCCUGCUUCAUUGUUGUGGUUGGAAAGCUCCUGCGGUUGUGGAUGUACUCGCUGCCUAUCAGCUUGUUGGUGGGUUAGUGGCCUACCAAGCCGGCCUCGGGUAGCCGGACUGAGAGGGUGACCGGCCAAAUUGGGAAUGAGAUACGGGACAGACACGUACGGGAGGAAGAAGUGGGGAAUAUGGCACAAUGGGGGCAAGCCUGAUGAAGAAAAGCGGGGGGCGGGAUGACGGCCUUCGGGUUGAAAACAGCAUUCAGCAGGGAAGAAGCUGUUUGUGACGGUAACUGCAGAAGAAGCACCGGCUAACUACGUG
rnacentral:rRNA from 1 species